rnacentral:rRNA from 1 species
GCUCAGAAUGAACGCUGGCGGCGUGCCUAAUACAUGCAAGUCGAACGAGAAAUCGCACCUUCGGGAGUGAGAGUAAAGUGGCGCACGGGUGAGUAACGCGUGGGUAACCUACCCUUUGGUUCGGAAUAACUGCCUGAAAGGGCAGCUAAUACCGAACAAGACCACGACGGCUUCGGCGGUUGGGGUAAAAGAUGGCCUCUACUUGUAAGCUAUCGCCAGAGGAUGGGCCCGCGUGCUAUUAGCUAGUUGGUGAGGUAACGGCUCACCAAUGCAGCGAUAGCUAGCUGGUCUGAGAGGAUGAUCAGCCACACUGGAACUGAAACACGGUCCAGACUCCUACGGGAGGCAGCAGUAAGGAAUUUUGCGCAAUGGGGGAAACCCUGACGCAGCAACGCCGCGUGAGUGAAGAAGGCCCUCGGGUCGUAAAGCUCUGUCAAGUGGGAAGAACCCUUUCAUGGAUAAUAACCAUGAGAGCUGACGGUACCACUGGAGGAAGCACCGGCUAACUCCGUGCCAGCAGCCGCGGUAAUACGGAGGGUGCCAGCGUUAUUCGGAAUCAUUGGGUGUAAAGCGCGUGUAGGCGGCUAAGCAAGUCAGAUGUGAAAGCUUCGGGCUUAACCCGGAAAGUGCAUUUGAAACUGUUUGGCUUGAGUCCUGGAGAGGGAAGUGGAAUUCCCAGUGUAGAGGUGAAAUUCGUAGAUAUUGGGAGGAACACCGGUGGCGAAGGCGACUUCCUGGACGGUGACUGACGCUGAGACGCGAAAGCGUGGGGAGCAAACAGGAUUAGAUACCCUGGUAGUCCACGCCGUAAACGAUGGGCACU